rnacentral:rRNA from 1 species
GACGAACGCUGGCGGCGUGCUUAACACAUGCAAGUCGAACGGAAAGGCCCUGCUUGCAGGGUACUCGAGUGGCGAACGGGUGAGUAACACGUGGGUGAUCUGCCCUGCACUUCGGGAUAAGCCUGGGAAACUGGGUCUAAUACCGGAUAGGAGCCAUUUUUAGUGUGAUGGUUGGAAAGUUUUUUCGGUGUAGGAUGAGCUCGCGGCCUAUCAGCUUGUUGGUGGGGUAAUGGCCUACCAAGGCGGCGACGGGUAGCCGGCCUGAGAGGGUGGACGGCCACAUUGGGACUGAGAUACGGCCCAGACUCCUACGGGAGGCAGCAGUGGGGAAUAUUGCACAAUGGGCGCAAGCCUGAUGCAGCGACGCCGCGUGGGGGAUGACGGCCUUCGGGUUGUAAACGCCUUUCGCUAGGGACGAGGCUUUUUGUGACGGUACCUAGAUAAGAAGCACCGGCUAACUACGUG